rnacentral:rRNA from 1 species
CCGGCGACCGGCGGACGGGUGCGUAACGCGUAUGUAACCUACCUUUGACAGGGGGAUAACAUCGUGAAAUUGGUACUAAUACCCCAUAACAUCACCGGAGGCAUCUUCGGUGGUUGAAAACUCAGGUGGUCAGAGAUGGACAUGCGUUGUAUUAGCUAGUUGGUGAGGUAACGGCUCACCAAGGCGACGAUACAUAGGGGGACUGAGAGGUCAACCCCCCACAUUGGUACUGAGACACGGACCAAACUCCUACGGGAGGCAGCAG